rnacentral:rRNA from 1 species
UGGGGAAUAUUGGACAAUGGGCGAAAGCCUGAUCCAGCAAUGCCGCGUGAGUGAUGAAGGCCUUAGGGUUGUAAAGCUCUUUUACCCGGGAAGAUAAUGACUGUACCGGGAGAAUAAGCCCCGGCUAACUCCGUGCCAGCAGCCGCGGUAAUACGGAGGGGGCUAGCGUUGUUCGGAAUUACUGGGCGUAAAGCGCACGUAGGCGGCUUUGUAAGUUAGAGGUGAAAGCCUGGAGCUCAACUCCAGAAUUGCCUUUAAGACUGCAUCGCUUGAAUCGCGGAGAGGUGAGUGGAAUUCCGAGUGUAGAGGUGAAAUUCGUAGAUAUUCGGAAGAACACCAGUGGCGAAGGCGGCUCACUGGACGCGUAUUGACGCUGAGGUGCGAAAGCGUGGGGAGCAAACA